GUCGUCUUCGUCUCUUUCAGAUUCGACAUAGACCUUGCAUUUUAUAUUCUCAUCUCAACGUAAGAAAGAAGACUUGGCCGUCAUGGAUCGUCAUCUGGUAAUUUGCUUGGUCGUCAUUGGACUCAUUUCUCAUCAAGUCUCCGCCCAAAUGGGAAACGGGAGCGGCCCUUGUACUUCUGCACCCUGUCUGAACGGUGGGAUGUGUGAUAGUCUUGGAGAUCAAUUUUGGUGUUCUUGUCAGGACGGAUUUCAUGGCACAUAUUGCGAAUUAAAUGGUAACGGGAGCGGCCCUUGUAGUUCUGUAUCCUGUCUGAACGGCGGGAGGUGUUACAGCUAUGGAGACUCAAGUUGGUAUUGUUCUUGUGAAGAUGGAUAUUAUGGCGAUUAUUGCGAAUUAAAUGCAAUCUGGAGCGACCCUUGUCUUUCUGCAGUCUGUCAGAACGGUGGGGAGUGUGUUAGCGAUGGAGCCUCAUUUAGGUGUUACUGUCAACACGGAUACGUUGGAACGCGUUGUGAAUAUUAUGCUUGGAGGUCGUACUAACAACUUACCUAAAUUAUUUGCCUAUUAUGGAUUAUGAACGAUAACACAACUGUAGCCUAGAAGUACCAUGAGCAUUGAAAAAUGAGGAGAAAGACCAUGAAUAAGGGAUCUUCUACCGUGACAUGAGAAACAUUUGCAGAAAAUUCAAUUUAAUCGAUUCAAUUUAUUUGACAUCAUGUAAAGGAAAAAUCAAGUACUAACCAAUUUAGAGUACAUUAUGAGACAGGACCACUAAAAAGCAGCGUGUGCUGGUAAAUGAAGCCGUUAUCAAGUUAAACACAAUAUUAGAUACAUUUGAAUUAACAAGAACACUCCACUCUGAAACAUGAGGAAAAUAAUUAUCUACUGCAUAUUUAUUUUCCAUUAUAUUAAGAUCGUGAAAUGGUAUAUAAAAAGUUAUUAUAAUGGAUUUGUCUUGCAUAUAACACAAUUGCACGAUAGGCAGAAAGGCCCAAGUAUUAAAAUUCAAAACGCCUUCCAAGAGAAAAAGAGAGAAGAAAAAGAAGAGGAGACAUUUGAGCACUAAUUUCAUCAACAUAAAAUAUCUUAAAAAUGAUUCGUAUGAAAGAUAUUUUUAUCAUACCAGUCACGGUAUUUAACGCAAACCAUCCAUAAUGAGCAUUACAAUUACUGUGUGUAUUUCAGAAAAAGCUUAGUUUACUUUGAUAUUGAAUAAGACACUAUCUGAAAUUCGAACUCCUAAAAACAUAAAUUGAAUUUGAAUUUGAAUUAUUUAUCUGUCGGAGGUUUCUGUAAUGUGUUAUGUUACCAUUAUUAUAAUUGUAAUAAAUCAAUAUUGGUCUUC